rnacentral:rRNA from 1 species
GCCCCGGUAAACGGCGGCCGUAACUAUAACGGUCCUAAGGUAGCGAAAUUCCUUGUCGGGUAAGUUCCGACCUGCACGAAUGGCGUAAUGAUGGCCAGGCUGUCUCCACCCGAGACUCAGUGAAAUUGAACUCGCUGUGAAGAUGCAGUGUACCCGCGGCAAGACGGAAAGACCCCGUGAACCUUUACUAUAGCUUGACACUGAACAUUGAGCCUUGAUGUGUAGGAUAGGUGGGAGGCUUUGAAGUGUGGACGCCAGUCUGCAUGGAGCCGACCUUGAAAUACCACCCUUUAAUGUUUGAUGUUCUAACGUUGGCCCGUAAUCCGGGUUGCGGACAGUGUCUGGUGGGUAGUUUGACUGGGGCGGUCUCCUCCUAAAGAGUAACGGAGGAGCACGAAGGUUGGCUAAUCCUGGUCGGACAUCAGGAGGUUAGUGCAAUGGCAUAAGCCAGCUUGACUGCGAGCGUGACGGCGCGAGCAGGUGCGAAAGCAGGUCAUAGUGAUCCGGUGGUUCUGAAUGGAAGGGCCAUCGCUCAACGGAUAAAAGGUACUCCGGGGAUAACAGGCUGAUACCGCCCAAGAGUUCAUAUCGACGGCGGUGUUUGGCACCUCGAUGUCGGCUCAUCACAUCCUGGGGCUGAAGUAGGUCCCAAGGGUAUGGCUGUUCGCCAUUUAAAGUGGUACGCGAGCUGGGUUUAGAACGUCGUGAGACAGUUCGGUCCCUAUCUGCCGUGGGCGCUGGAGAACUGAGGGGGGCUGCUCCUAGUACGAGAGGACCGGAGUGGACGCAUCACUGGUGUUCGGGUUGUCAUGCCAAUGGCACUGCCCGGUAGCUAAAUGCGGAAGAGAUAAGUGCUGAAAGCAUCUAAGCACGAAACUUGCCCCGAGAUGAGUUCUCCCUGACUCCUUGAGGGUCCUGAAGGAACGUUGAAGACGACGACGUUGAUAGGCCGGGUGUGUAAGCGCAGCGAUGCGUUGAGCUAAC